AAUGCACAAAAUAUAAUCAAAUAGCAUUUUUUUAAUGUAUAAGGUGGGAGGAUGGAAAGCCCAAUUCAAAGAUCCUGGGCUUUUAUCUCUAGAUGACAGAUUUUAAAUCUCCCACAGCUGAGAUGGUAGAGUAUGGGUGUCUUUAGCAAGCAGUUCUGUCAAUCCCAGCCAUCACUUCUCAUUUAUUACUUAACAGCAUACCAGGAAGAAACCUUAGGUCACAGGUAUGCACUGAAUGUGUUAUUAAUUUAUCCUUUGGAUAUUCAAGAUUUAUCUGACAAGAAAACUUUGAUACUCAUGUCACACUAAAAUCUUCAACUUCAUAGCUGUUGUUUGGACUCUCAUUUUCAAUUAAACCAAGUAUGGAUACUAAUGUUGAUGGCAAUGAAUAUAAAGCUUGUAAUCAACAGAUAUGACAUAAAAUCUGUUUUAAUAUGACCUAUAAUAAUUCUAAGAUACAUGUCUGAAUAUCAUAAAUUAAUUGGGUGGUAUUCACCUCAGGUCUCAUUCACAGUGAUGGGAAAAUAUAGGACUCUAAAGAGGCCCAAGACCAGCACAUUUCCCAUAGAUAGUCUCCUUUAUUUUGUUUAAGGAUGUAAGUAGAGCUCUUCAUUUCUCCCACAAAUCUUAUUAGCAUCCCAAGAGAACAAACCACAUAUGAAAAAAUGUAGCAAAAAGACAAAAGUAUGCAUAACUGGGGUGGAGGGAGCCGAGCAAGGCCCCUUGAGAUGUAUAGACACCAACCCAUGUGUCUGGUUGCUUGUGGAAGUAAGUGCAUGAAGAUUGCUGACGGGUUUGCAAUCAUAUCAAAUAUCCACAGGACAUGUCAAGUGCACGUGCUAAUACUCGUUCCAAAAUGAGACAAUGUUCAUGUGACUCUUUUAGAAAGUCCUUACAAAUGGGCAUGAUUAUAUCUCACUCCUUUGUUUAAAAAAUAAUAAUAAUUUGUUAAAAAAAAUUGAAGUGAAGGUUUCAUAUAAAAUAAAAACUUGUGUGAUUUUAUUCAUUACUCUGAAUAGUGCAUUUUUUUCUUGUUGUAAUUUAAUUCCCAUGUUAAGUCAGGACACCAUUUAUGGCUUAAGAAAAUUAGGAGAAAUAAAAGGUCAGUCUAGGGUUAGAUGUGGUAGUGGAAAACUAUCUG
rnacentral:lncRNA from 1 species